AGAGUUUGAUCCUGGCUCAGAAUCAACGCUGGCGGCGUGCCUUAUACAUGCAAGUCGUACGCGAAAGCGGCCUUCGGGCCGCGAGUAGAGUGGCAAACGGGUGAGUACCGCGUGGGUGACCUGCCUUCGAGUGGGGGAUAACCUUCCGAAAGGAGGGCUAAUACCGCAUAACAUCCCGCCCUUGGAUGGGCGGUGAUCAAAGUCGGGGAUCUUCGGACCUGGCGCUUGAAGAGGGAUCCGCGUCCGAUUAGCUUGUUGGUGGGGUAGCGGCCUACCAAGGCGACGAUCGGUAGCCGGCCUGAGAGGGCGGACGGCCACACUGGGACUGAGACACGGCCCAGACUUCUACGGGAGGCAGCAGUAAGGAAUUGUUCGCAAUGGGCGCAAGCCUGACGACGCAACGCCGCGUGGAGGACGAAGAUCUUCGGGUUGUAAACUCCUGUCAAGCGGGAAGAACAGCAUGCGGGUUAAUACCCCGUGCGCCUGACGGUACCGCUGAAGGAAGCCCCGGCUAACUCCGUGCCAGCAGCCGCGGUAAUACGGGGGGGGCAAGCGUUGUUCGGAAUUACUGGGCGUAAAGGGCUCGUAGGCGGCCAGCCAAGUCGGACGUGAAAUCCCCCGGCUCAACC
rnacentral:rRNA from 1 species